rnacentral:rRNA from 1 species
CUUUCUUCGGGGGUGAAGAGCGGCGGACGGGUGAGUAAUGUCUGGGAAACUGCCUGAUGGAGGGGGAUAACUACUGGAAACGGUAGCUAAUACCGCAUAACGUCGCAAGACCAAAGUGGGGGACCUUCGGGCCUCAUGCCAUCAGAUGUGCCCAGAUGGGAUUAGCUAGUAGGUGGGGUAACGGCUCACCUAGGCGACGAUCCCUAGCUGGUCUGAGAGGAUGACCAGCCACACUGGAACUGAGACACGGUCCAGACUCCUACGGGAGGCAGCAGUGGGGAAUAUUGCACAAUGGGCGCAAGCCUGAUGCAGCCAUGCCGCGUGUAUGAAGAAGGCCUUCGGGUUGUAAAGUACUUUCAGCGGGGAGGAAGGCGAUAAGGUUAAUAACCUUGUCGAUUGACGUUACCCGCAGAAGAAGCACCGGCUAACUCCGUGCCAGCAGCCGCGGUAAUACGGAGGGUGCAAGCGUUAAUCGGAAUUACUGGGCGUAAAGCGCACGCAGGCGGUCUGUCAAGUCGGAUGUGAAAUCCCCGGGCUCAACCUGGGAACUGCAUUCGAAACUGGCAGGCUAGAGUCUUGUAGAGGGGGGUAGAAUUCCAGGUGUAGCGGUGAAAUGCGUAGAGAUCUGGAGGAAUACCGGUGGCGAAGGCGGCCCCCUGGACAAAAGAGUGAUUAUCAGGUGCUAAAGCGUGGGGAUCAUUUUAUGAUUAGAUACCCUGGUAGUCCACGCCGAAAACGAUGUCGAUUUGGAAGGAU